rnacentral:pre_miRNA from 1 species
UACAUACUUUCUUCGUCCGGUAAUACUUGUCAUCAAAAUAAACAAAAGAAAAUGUAUCUAAACGUAUUUUAGUUUUAAAUACAUUUUUAAUCCAUUUUAGAUGACAAGUAUUUUUGAACGGAGGGAAUACAAU